CAGGAUUAUUUCUAGGUUUGUCAGAAGGAACUACAAGGCAGGUAACAAAGAGCAAGAAUGAAAAACAAACAAACAACCUAGUCCUGUUCUCUGCUAUAUACCCAUUAUUUUCAUCUCCACCCAUAAAUCAAGAAGAGGAGGAUCACUUGAUUUAUAUUGACUUUGUUACCAGAAGUUAUGUAAUCUGAAGAAUUAAUUUAACUUCCUUGAUGUAUUUUUGCUUAAUAAAAUAUCAAAUCAACAAUA